UACGUAGGGGGCAAGCGUUGUCCGGAUUUAUUGGGCGUAAAGAGCUCGUAGGUGGUUCGGUAAGUCGGAUGUGAAAUCUCCAGGCUCAACCUGGAGGGGUCAUUCGAUACUGCCGGACUAGAGUUCGGAAGAGGCGAGUGGAAUUCCCGGUGUAGCGGUGAAAUGCGCAGAUAUCGGGAGGAACACCUAUGGCGAAGGCAGCUCGCUGGGACGUUACUGACGCUGAGACGCGAAAGCGUGGGGAGCAAACAGG
rnacentral:rRNA from 1 species